CAUCUCCCUCAGACCUCUCUUCCUGCUCUUUCUAGACUGUGGGCACUGUGUGGAGCAGCCUCUAGUGCUCACAGCAUGUUUCUUCCACAACAGUUUCAGGAUCUGCUAGAAACCAUCAAGAUCCCAUGGAUAAUUUGGCUGCCUCCUGGAAUUACUUGUGCCUAGGGCUUCCUUAACACAACAGGAUAAUUCCCCAAGAGGAUGAUUGUUGGUUGGGAAUGGAUACAUAGGAUUUCAGAAGAUAAAAUCAAAGAGCAGGACCAGGACUCCGAAGAGACCACAUCUCAAGAACAGGUUGGUUACUUUUUUGCUAUGUUAUUGGGUGGCUUUUGGCAAGCUUAUGACCUCCAUCCAUAGUCAUAAAUCAGAGUUAAUCUGUUUUUUCUUCCCUUUGCCAUUUAUCAUAUAUGUAGGCUGUCUGCUAAGAAAUCAGGCUUCCUCCCGCACCAAAAACAAACACGAAAAUAAUCCUAAUUCAUGGCUGGUGAAGAAUCUAACCACUGCAGAUAUUGCAGUGUGUGAACUGGUGUCUUCAGGUUUGCAGAAGUGA
rnacentral:lncRNA from 1 species